GGAUGUGAGGGCGAUCUGGCUAUGACAUCUGUCACCCCAUUGAUCACCAGGGUUGAUUCGGCUGAUCUUGCUGGCUAGGCGGGUGUCCCCUUCCUCCCUCACCGCUCCAUGUGCGUCUCUCCCAAAGCUGCGUGCUCAGUGGAAGAGGACGACAUCUCAAGUAUAGAAGGAGUGUACCGAGGUCUCCAGUCUUCAGUCCCGGGUAUACGAUAGUUUUAGGAAACGGUGAUCGGGCUAUAGGACAACUUGGCCAGUCCAGCAAAGUUGAUCCAGAGGAUAAUCACUUCAAUG
rnacentral:snRNA from 11 species